GGUAACAUCACAUUUUUAGGCCCUGUUCUGUACUAGAAUCACUAUUCAUUGAGUUUCUGAAUGAAUUAUUGUGUGGGUUGUGUUUGUAAGCUAAUGGUAAGUGGGCUGCUUUCUUUUAAUAAUCUCCUUUCAUUCUAGAUAUAAAAAUGUUACUUUUCUUUCAGAUGUUUCAGGCGUGCCCAGUCCAACAUAUACCAGUACCAUAUGCAGCAUUCCCACCUCUGAUUUCUAAUGACCCAUUUCUUUUGCAUCCUCCUCACUUCUCUUUGCAUCACACCUCUCACCUGACACCUCCAGGGAAAUUUGUUCCCUUCCAAGCACAUCAGUCAUGCUCAAUUCAUAGCAACUGGCAAUAUAUAUGGUUGAAAAUGAGCUACAGCCCCAUCCUGUGCAAUAGCUUUGAUGACUCAAGUACUUUUAAAAGGAGACUGUAUACCUCAUAUUCUGGCUACUGUUGCUCAAGUCUUUUCAAAGGGACAAUCAGUCGGCCAUUGAGACUAUGAAAUAAUUGAAACAUCUGAAUUCUUCUUCUUCCUCUUUAAUUAUCCACAUAGCGUGAACAGGAUGGCUUGCAGUUCCCACAGUGUCCCUCAGGGAUUGCUACUGGUAUCGGCCUUGUUCAACAUCUUUGUUGGCGAUAUGGACGGUGGGAUUGAUGUGCCCUCAUCAGGUUUGCUGACAACACCAAGCCGUGUGGCUCGGUUGAUACACUGGAGGGAAGGAAUGCCAUCCAGAGGGACCUUGACAUGAUUGAGGGAUGGGCCAAUGCUACCUCAUGAAGUUCAACCAAGCCAAAUGCAAGGUGCUACACCUGUGUCAGAGCAAUCCCGGGCACAGCUACAGGUUGGGCAGAGAAGAGAUUCAGAGCAGCCCUGCAGAGAAGGAUUUAGGGGUGUUGGUUGAUGAGAAAGUAAACAUGAUCUGUGUUCAGCGUGCGCUCGCAGCCCAGAAAUCAGCCGUAUUUUGGUCUGUAUCAAAAGAAGCGUGAGCAGCAGGUCGAAGGAAGUGAUCCUGCCCCUCUGCUCUGCUCUCGUGAGACCUCACUUGGAG
rnacentral:lncRNA from 1 species